rnacentral:tRNA from 3 species
GUUUCCGUGGUGUAGUGGUUAUCACAUCAGUCUAACACGCGGAAGGCCCCCGGUUCAAUCCCGGGCGGAAACA